rnacentral:rRNA from 1 species
GACGAACCGUGCGAACGUUAUUCGGAAUCACUGGCUUAAAGCGCGUGUAGGCGGAUCGGAACGUCGGCGCCUGAAAUCCCCCGGCUCAACCGGGGAACGCGGCCCGAAACGACCGGUCUGGAGGGACGUAGGGGGGACUGGAACUUCCGGUGGAGCGGUGAAAUGCGUUGAGAUCGGAAGGAACGCCCGUGGCGAAAGCGAGUCCCUGGACGUCUGCUGACGCUGAGACGCGAAAGCUAGGGGAGCGAACGGG